rnacentral:lncRNA from 1 species
AUGAGGAGACAGAUCAAGCAGAAGAGAAAUAUCCUCAUAGAACUACAGCAGUAAGGCAAACACCAUGGGUCUCAGAGCUGUAUCUACCUUGGCUUCUUUCUUUUGUGUAUGCAAUGCCAUACCAAUUUUUCGACCUGGUCUUGGAGUUUUUACAAGUACCAGUACCGAGGUCAUUCGUCCAAACAUUCUGACCCUUCCCAAUGUUGCCUUUGGUCAGCCACAAAUCGUGAACUUUAACCCUCAGUUGCCUGGGAACCCUUUCCUUUUCCCCCAACAGGAGAUUUUCCCCAUGAAUCCAAAUGCUCCAAUAGCCCCAAUAAACCCAGCCUUGUACAAUCUUCCAAUGCAAGUUCCUCAAAAUCAAGGGCCACAGGGCUUCCCGUACUUCAUGAACUAUCCCCAGCAAAAGCCACCUAUGGUGAUGCCACCUAAUCAAAACACUGCCCAACAGAACAUGGAGAGGGCCACCCAGGGGUCACAGACGCCAAUGCAGAACCAGGCCAGAGAUGUGUGGACCAUGAGCCCACCUCCUGAUAAUCGAGGAGACACGGCUGGAGCUGCCAUUGAAGAGGGGUAUCCUAGUUUUUCCUUCAUGCCAUAGACAGAGUGUGAGACAAUGCCCAAAGUGGUACUGGGAUAUUCCACAGAUUUUGGGCUUCCGAAGAUAACUUGCUGCCUACAUACACAAUGAAUACAGACAUACUUAUCAUCAUUUUUUUUUUAAAGAAAUAAAGACAAUAAAACAGUGGCUUUGAAUGCA